UACGUAGGGUGCAAGCGUUGUCCGGAAUUAUUGGGCGUAAAGAGCUCGUAGGCGGUUCGUCGCGUCGGCUGUGAAAUCCCGAGGCUCAACCUCGGGUCUGCAGUCGAUACGGGCGGACUGGAGUUCGGCAGGGGAGACUGGAAUUCCUGGUGUAGCGGUGAAAUGCGCAGAUAUCAGGAGGAACACCGGUGGCGAAGGCGGGUCCCUGGGCCGAUACUGACGCUGAGGAGCGAAAGCGUGGGGAGCGAACGGG
rnacentral:rRNA from 1 species